rnacentral:tRNA from 1 species
GGGCCGGUGGCGGAAUGGGCAGACGCAGGGGACUUAAAAUCCUCCGGUAGAAAUACUGUGUGGGUUCGACUCCCACCCGGCCUACCA